rnacentral:rRNA from 1 species
CCUACGGGUGGCAGCAGUGGGGAAUAUUGCACAAUGGGGGAAACCCUGAUGCAGCGACGCCGCGUGAGUGAAGAAGUAUUUCGGUAUGUAAAGCUCUAUCAGCAGGAACGAGACAAGACGGUACCUGACUAAGAAGCCCCGGCUAACUACGUGCCAGCAGCCGCGGUAAUACGUAGGGGGCAAGCGUUAUCCGGAAUCACUGGGUGUAAAGGGAGCGUAGACGGCUGAGCAAGCCUGAAGUGAAAGGCGGGGGACCAACCCCCGGACUGCUUUGGGAACUGUACGGCUGGAGUGCAGGAGAGGUAAGUGGAAGUCCGAGUGUAGCGGUGAAAUGCGUAGAUAUUAGGAGGAACACCAGGGGCGAAGGCGGCUUACUGGACUGUAACUGACGUUGAGGCUCGAAAGCGUGGGGAGCAAACAGGAUUAGAUACCCUUGUAGUC